GGGGUCUGGCUGUAGUUCCCCCGGCCCCCCCCCCCUCCUCACCAGGGGGUCUGGCUGUAGUUCCCCCGGCCUCCUGCAGGGGGGGACGGAGAGCUUCCACUACAGCUCGUCUGGUUCUCAGAGGACGAGUGCGAGCGACUCCUGGGACACACCUGUACAGGCGACCUUAGAGAGCAGGGGGCCCUGCCCACCCACCCAGAUGGGCCAAUCGGAGGCCUGGAAGCUGACCUGUCUGACGGAGAGCCAGGUGAGGCUGGAUAACCAGGUGUACGCCCAGCAGCUAGACUCCGCCCUCAGGACCCUCCCGGUGGAGAGGGGGUGGAGCCGACCUCUAGACUCCGCCCUCAGGACCCUCCCGGCGGAGAGGGGGUGGAGCCGACCUCUAGACUCCGCCCUCAGGACCCUCCCAGCAGACAGGGAGUUGAGCCGACCUCUAGACUCCGCCGACAGGACCCUCCCAGCGGACAGGGGGAGGAGCCGACCUUUAGACUGUGCCCUCAGGACCCUCCCAGCAGACGGUGGGCGUGGCCUACAGGUGGGCUACAGGUGUGUCCCCGUUGAGGAGCUGAGGCCCCGCCCCCGCUACAUCCCAGAGUCCUUCAGGGGGAAGACGCUGGCCCAGGUGCAGUGGGAGGACCAGGAGAAGGUGGAGGCGCUGGUGCAGCAGUUCAGAGGCUCCGCCUUCCUGUGCUACUUCCAGACGGAAGCCCUGGCCAGGUGGUCAAAGUGAGUCAUGGAACCCAGACUGCCCCAUUGGUCCUCCCAUCUGUCUGUCAGCCAGUCCAGCCCCGCCCCCCCUUGCCUCCAGAGGAGCAGCCAGCCAAUCAGGAGCGGGCCGAGGGCCCGGAGGAGGAGGGGGGGCGGCUACCCCCCCCCUACUCCGCCCUGCUGGCCCCCCUGCAGCCCGGCGCCCCCCUCCUCCUCCUCCUCGGUCCCCCCGCCCGCCGGGCACCGCCCCCCGGCUCCGUCCCCCAGGCCACGCCCCCCGGCUCCGCCUCCAGCCGCUGCCGGAGGCGGAGCCGGCCGCUGGAGGCGGCGAGGUCGAAGGUCAGGUACCAGCGCCCCCCGCUGCGCUGGUACGACCCGGUCACCCGCCGUGUCCUGGGGUCACGACCCCACACGCCCCGCGGCAACACCGUCGCUAGGCAACUGUUCAGGAGCCUCAGCCCCGACCUCAACGCCCACGGGAAGGGAGGGGGGGCGGGCGGGAGGAGGAGGAGGAGGGGGGGGGGAGGAGGGGGGCACCCCCCCUGGGGUCAAAGGUCAGAUGUCGUCAUCAGACCAGACCCCGACCUUCGGCCGCCUCCCCCUAGGCACGCUCCGAGCGGAUCCCCGCGAGCACAGGACGCCCAGGGGGCGUGGCCGCAGGAAAGGGGGGAGGGGUCAGACCCCAGGGAGGGGGAGGGGCCGAAGGCGGGAGAUCAGGGAUGCUUCGUCCCGCCCCCCCCCCGGGAGGAGAGUCGGGCGGCGGGUUGGAGAACUCAGGAAAGUCCCAGGCUCUGAGGGCCCGCUGGAGGCCUCGGCUCGGAGCCCGAGAGUCCGGAGGAAGACGGGCUGCCCCUGCUGCAGCUAGGGGGCGCUAUUUAGACCAUAUAUAUAUCAUAUAAUGCAUAGACUAUAUAUAUAUCAUAUAAUGUAUAGACUAUAGAUAUAUAUAUCAUAUAAUGUAUAGACUAUAGAUAUAUCAUAUAAUGUAUAGACUAUGUAUAUAUAUCAUAUAAUGUAUAGACUAUAUAUACAUCAUAUAAUGUAUAGACUAUAUAUACAUCAUAUAAUGUAUAGACUAUAUAUAUAUAUAUCAUAGACUAUGUAU
ensembl:lncRNA